UACGUUCCCGGGCCUUGUACACACCGCCCGUCAAGCCAUGGAAGUUGGGAGUAUCUAAAGUCAAUUGUCGCAAGGCGUUGCCUAGGGUAAAACCGAUGACUGGGGCU
rnacentral:rRNA from 1 species